CUCCUUUUUCCAGAUAUGAAGACUUCUUUGGGGGUUAAAAAGCAAAAAAGUUCAACAAAGCUGAAGUCCUUCAAUGGAUUUGAAGAACUGAGCAUAGCCGAGAAACAAGAAGAUGAUAAAGGAACUCUUUCAACCCAUGAGAAAGAGCUUCAAAAGAUCUGCUCUAAAAUUGAGCAGAUGGAGAAAGAGAACUUGGAAACUAAGGCCUGGACUAUGCAGGGAGAGGUAACCGCCAGUAAAAGGCCGAAGAACAGUGCACUCGAGGUUGAUCUGGAUUUUGAGCACAAUGUAAGACCACCUCCUGUGAUCACAGAAGAGGUUACAGCAUCCCUUGAAGAAUUAAUUACAAAAAGGAUUAUUGAGUUUUGAGUUCCGUCUUAGAGUGGCUCUUGCGUUGAAUGGAGAUCUCACCAUGAUAUCGUGGAUUAGGAACCUCGACAGCAAGCCAUUUAGUUUCUCCUUUGCUUUCCACACAUUUUUCUCUAUUUCUGUCAUCAGGAAUUUCAAUGGGAGCUGUUGUUGGAAUCUCUGUUGCAGCUGUUGCCAUUAUACUAUUUCUAGUUUUGUCUAUACAUUGGUGCGUCUAGAAGAAAGAAACUGAAGAAGGCAUCAUUGCUUCGACCACCUUUCGAAGAUAACUCUAUUCACCAUGGAUAAGGUAAAUCUCUUGGUUAGGCAUUAAU